rnacentral:ncRNA from 1 species
CGACGGUCACCUUGCAGGGAGUGACUGAAUAAUCUUUCUGGCAUAUAGCUGGAUAAGGUGAUGAGAUACAGGUGGUGCUGCUGUGGUUUUCCACAGAACCGACAAACCAGUCGGAUCUCAGGCAAGGAUGUAAAAUUUACUACUGUAGUAAUGCCCGUCCUUUGUUGGUAAUACAGAAACCCAACCUCCCACUUU